AACGCGCACACAAGCAAGGAGUGUGCUUGUUAGUGCAGCAUGAGGAGUGGAGGUGGGGGCAGACAGGAAGAGGAAGAGUCGGAUGAAGAGAGCAGCCAAUGAGUACUACAAACAGCCCGUGGGCCGAUGUCAUCCCUCAAGGUGCAGUACAAGGGAGGCACCUUGAGGGCCCCGUCCACGAGCUUGCAACCACUCAGCUGAAUCUUCUAAACUCAAGAACCAACUGUCCUCUAAGCUCCACUUGGAUCCUGUUAAUAACUUUGCUGUCGGGGAAAAGUUUUUCUCUUUUCCGUCAUCAGAUACCCUGUUGGUGUAAUAAGACGGCCAAAGAAGGAUAUGAAAGCCACUGACAUAAAGACAAGAAAGCUCCUCACAAUGUACGGAGGGUUUCACCCCAAGUGCAGCAGCAUCCUGAGACUGUACACUACACAGAAGGAGGGAGGCUGAUGACAUGUCUCAGGAAGAUGGCCCCCAGUGAUGAACUGCUAAGUGAAUGCCUAAGGAAGCAGAAACCCCAUGACGACAAGUAGAAUGAAGAGGAACCAGCGUAGCGGGAAAAGCCCUGCACGGCGUGUACUACUGCCAGUUAGGAGAAGUGUCUGGGACGGGGAUAUCCUACCAGUGGCCGGUCUGGCAGAACAGACGCACUCAUCAUGGCACACAAGAACAGGCCUGAAGCACAAGAUGCAGAGAGGUACAGUGGACAUGGAACGUCAAAUGCGAGCGUGUGGCAUAGUGUAUAGGAACAUCCGUGUCAACAACGGGCUGGACGUUUAGAGUCACAAUGGAAGACACUGGU